rnacentral:misc_RNA from 1 species
GUAGGUGAACCUGCGGAAGGAUCACUUGCAAAAUUGUUGUGGGGUGUGUUGGUGUGAGUGAUUGCAUCAACUCUGCUCCUAAAAGCACAGAGACUCUCGAGUUUCUGAUGCUUGCGCUUGUAUUGUUUGACAUUUGUACCACUUUAAUACUAUAUAACUUUUAACAAUGGAUCUCUUGGCUCUUGCAUCAAUGAAGAACGCAGCAUCUGACUGACUGAACUGUAU